AUCCUUUUCUAUUUAUACGUUUCUUUUCCAUUUAUUUGACAAACCCUAGCCGACCUAAACCUUAACUCUCAAUCUGAAAAUAACUCAUCCCUCAUCCUUUCUAUUGCUCUCAAUUCAGCAUUGUGUUGGAUUGUUUCUCUUGUCCAAAUCUAUGCCAUACCUUCUCUGCAAUUAUUUGAAAGCUUUUUAUCUCCAAACGGUACGUACAAAUCUCUCGUUUCUCCAUCGUUUCGUUGCUAGCGUUAAAAACCGUGUGCUGAGUACUUUGUUAUAGCUUGUCGGUGAUUCUUAAUCUGUUUCCAAUGCUAUUCACAUGACUACAUGCUCUGUUAUGUGUUAUUGAUUGUUAUGAGUUCUUCGAGUCAUUAUUGAUACGAUGGGUCCCUAUACAUUACAUCAUCUCGAUUUCGUAUCUCUAUGAUUUUGUUCGGCUACCAAUAUUUUGGUUAUAUUUCUUGUUAUUGAUAUUGGGAUGAUGGCUAUGGUCUUGGCCUUUGAUAUGGUCACUAUUAGGUUGUUUGCUAAAGAAACCAUGAAAUUGUUCUUGGUGGUGUUACUGUAAAUUCUUGUUCUCCAUUAGGUAAGAUGAAGAUGCUAGGCGGGAAAGGUUUUGCUUCAAUUCUAUUGGGCUUCAUGUUUUGGGCAUUUGUUUAGUUAAUGAUAGGAUUAUACCUUAACAAAUAAAAGGUUUAUUCUUUGAUUAUAUCAUAAUGAUUGGUUUAAGGAAUGGGUUGUUUGAUUUAA